GACGAACGCUGGCGGCGUGCUUAACACAUGCAAGUCGAACGAUGAAGCCGGAGCUUGCUCUGGUGAAUUAGUGGCGAACGGGUGAGUAACACGUGAGUAACCUGCCCUUGACUCUGGGAUAACUGCGGGAAACUGUAGCUAACACCGGAUACGACCCUCGGAGGCAUCUCCUGGGGGUGGAAAGAAUUUCGGUCAAGGAUGGACUCGCGGCCUAUCAGCUAGUUGGGGAGGUAAAGGCUCACCAAGGCGACGACGGGUAGGCGGCCUGAGAGGGGGACCGGCCACACUGGGAAUGGGACACGGCCCAGACUCCUACGGGAGGCAGCAGUGGGGAAUAUUGCUCAAUGGGCGCAAGCCUGAUGCAGCAACGCCGCGUGAGGGAUGACGGCCUUCGGGUUGUAAACCUCUUUUAGCAGGGAAGAAGCGAAAGUGACGGUACCUGCAGAAUAAGCUCCGGCUAACUUCGUGCCAGCAGCCGCGGUAA
rnacentral:rRNA from 1 species